CAGCUUUCAACAUAAACUAGGAGAUGGCUCGGACAAGUCUUUCUUCAAUAUCAAUACCUUUUCUUAUUCUGCUGAUAAUAGCCUUUACUUUCUUUGCACAGCUAGCUCCAGUUAGUGCAGAUCUGCAAAAGAGAAAAUUUGGUCCCAUGUCAAGUCCACCUCCUCCACCUAGGCUUUCUCCUGGACCUGGUUCAGGUUGAAGCCAAAACGCCGCUCCUCCUCCACCUAGUGCCCAAGCAAUGACUAAUCAAUCUCUGGAGUUCGGUCAAAGACGUACAACCCAGUUUGCGAUUUGGAGUUCACACUUAAUUAUGACUUGACGUCAAAUAAAUGGCAUAGUUAGGAUUUAACCUUAAAACCAUAUAUUUAUGCUCAUCUAUCAUUAAACAAACAACUUAAUUUUGGGUUGGUAUUACGUAUAUACCUCUUUAUGGUUGUGCAAACUUAUGUAUGAAGGUCUAUUAUCUAUUUGAACAGUUUUACGCAGUAAUUAAUAUGAAUCCAGGGAUGCAUUGGUCGAUGUCAUUCUGUAACUCCUCAAUUAAGAAAUGCUUCAAGCACGUACCCUAUACAAACUAGAGACAUGUCAAAUUUAAAACAUGGUCUGAAAAUAUCUUGUCUUUGUUUUUUUAAUGUUAGAUUUUAAUAUGUUUUUAUAAGGAAAUUGCAAGGAGUUUAGGCAGGCCAUGUAAUUUGUAAGGAAAUUGCCUUAUGUCCAAUUUGUUAUAUCACUCAUU